rnacentral:rRNA from 1 species
CCUACGGGUGGCAGCAGUGGGGAAUAUUGCACAAUGGGGUAAACCCUGAUGCAGCGACGCCGCGUGAGCGAGGAAGUAUCUCGGUAUGUAAAGCUCUAUCAGCAGGGACGAAAAAAGACGGUACCUGACCAAGAAUCCCCGGCUAACUACGUGCCAGCAGCCGCGGUAAUACGUAGGGGGCAAGCGUUAUACGGAUUUACUGGGUGUAAAGGGAGCGUAGACGGCAAGGACAGGCCGAAGGUAAAGGGCAGGGGUUAACCCUGUACAUGCUUUUGAAACUGUGGUGCUAGAGUGCAGGAGAGGUAAGGGGAAUGCGUGGUGUAGCGGUGAAAUGCGUAGAUAUGAGGAAGAACACCAGUGGCGAAGGCAGCAUACUGGACUGUAACUGACGUUGAGGCUCGAAAGCGUGGGGAGCAAACAGGAUUAGAUACCCGGGUAGUC